CACGAGUUCGGUGGCCAUGUGCGUUGGAGACCCAGUGAAAGCUAUGUUCCGUUAUGAUCCGUCCUUUUCUGGCGUUGUGUGAGUUAAACGUGGACCAUAUUGAGCAGCAUGCAAGGUGCGCUGUGCAUCAAGGAUUUGAGUGGAGGAUAACACUUGAAGCCAAGAAAUAUCUGAGGAGACCUAACAAAUAACUGAUGUAGAGGACAAGUUAUCAAGAGAAAUUAGAAGACCCUGGCUGACAGGGUCAAACAAGCAAAGGUCAAGGCUGCAAGGUUGUAAAGGCAUUUGACAAUGAUUGAACCACAAUUUAAGGUCAUCUGCAGCUUUCUUACCAAGAAGUGAUGAAUAAAGGAAAUCCUUUGUUGAAAGAAUGAGCUUUUCAGGAAAAGAAGAAGUUUUUUCAAACAGAUGCCUAUUAGUUAUUCUAUCAUGUGUAAGAAACUUGUACAGAGAUUGGCUGGCCGUUCAGUUGUUAGUUAUGGAUCCUCGGCAGCAUAAUGAGCAAAAAUCUAUAAUGGCAUAAAUAAAACAAAUGAUAACAUUUUACUCUA